AUAUGCAAGGUAUGAUCUCGAUUUUUUUUUACUUUUUGAGGGCUGAUUUGUGACCCAGUAUGUGAUCUAUUCUGGAGAAUGUUCCAUGUGCACUCAAGAAGAAUGUGUAUUCUGCUGCUUUAGGAUGAAAUGUUCUGACUAUAUCUGUUAAGUCCAUCUGUCCAGUGUAUCAUUCAAAGCCAUUGUUUCCUUGUCGAUUUUCUGCUUAGAUGAUCUUGUCCAUUGCUCUAAGUGGGGAGUUGAAGUCCCCUACUAUGAUGGUACUGUUAUCAAUGAGUUUCUUGUUUGUGAUUAAUUGAUUUAUAUAUUUGGGUGCUUCCAUGUUGGCAUAAAUAUUUACAAUUGUUAGAUCUUGUUGGAUGACCCCUUAAUUACGAUAUAAUGUCCUUCCUCAUUUCUUGUUACAGUCUUCAUUUUAAAAUCUAGUUUGUCUGAUAUAAGUAUGGCUACUCUAGCUUUCUUUUGAAUGAUGAUUUCCAUCCCCUUACUUUCAAUCUGCAGGUGCCUUUAGGUCUAAAAUGAGUCUCUUGCAAGCAGCAUAUAGGUCUUGUUUUCUUAUCUGUUCUGAUACCCUAUGUCUUUUAAUUGGAGUAUUUAGUCCAUUGACACUUAGAGUGAGUACUGAGACAUGAAUUUAGCACAAUUGUGUUGCCUUUUGAGUUGGUGUUUUCGGAGGUGUUCUCUGGUUCUUUCUAGACUUUGUUGCUUUUGGUCUGUUUUGUUUUGUUUUGUCUUUUCUCCAGUCAAAAUAUCCCCCUUAAAGUUUCUUGCAGGGCAUUUAGUGGUCACAAACUCCUUUAGUUUGUGUUUGUCUGGGAAACUCUUUAUCUCUCCUUCUAUUUUGAAUGACAGUCUUGCUGGAUAAAGAAUUCUUGACUGCAUAUUUUUCUGAUUCAUCAUGUUGAAUAAAUCCUGCUACUCCUUUCUGGCCUGCCAAGUUUCUGGAUAGGUCUGCUGUGAACAUGAUCUGUAUUCCCUUAUAGGUUAAGGACAUUUUCUCCCUUGCUGCUUUCAUAAUUCUUUCCUUGUCUGUAUAUUUCAUGAAUUUGACUAUGAUUUGUUGUUUUUUUGUCGAAUCUAAUGGGAGUUUUCUGUGCUUCUUGGAUUUUGAUGUCUGUGUCUUUCUCCAGAUUAGAAAGUCUUCCACUAUAAUUUGCUCACAUAAACCUUCUGCCCCUUUUUCUCUCUCUUCAUCUUCUGGGACUCUAUGAUUUAGAUGUUAUUCCUUUUUAAUAAGUCACUGAGUUCUUUAAGUUUUGUAUUGUGACAUUUUGCCUUUGUUUCCCUCUUUUUUUUUCUUUCUUUUUUUUCAAUAUAUGAAGUUUAUUGUCAAAUUGGUUUCCAUACAACACCCAGUGCUCAUCCAAAAAGGUGCCCUCCUCAAUACCCAUCCCUCUUUUUUUUUUCUGCUUCAUUAUUCUCCAUAAUUUUAUCUUCUAAAUCACCAAUUCACUGUUCUGCCUCAUCUAUUCUUGCCUUCGUGGCAUUCACCCGAGAUUGCAUCUUGGUGAUAGCAUUUUUAAUUUCGUCCUGACUAGAUUUUAUUUCUUUAAUCUCCACAGAAAAAUAUUCUAUGCUUUUUUCAACCCCAGCUAGUAUUAUUAUUGUGGUUCUAAAUUCUAGUUCAGACAUCUUGUUUAUAUGUAUGUUGAUUAAGCCCCUGUCUAUCAUUUCCUCCUGUUCUUUCUUUUGGGGUGAAUUCCUUCAUUUUGUCAUUUUGAAGGAAGAAAAAAUUAAUAAAAUUAAAAAUUAAAAUUAAAAAAUUAAAAACAAAACAAAAAAUCAAAUAAAGAAAGCUAGAUCCUAGGUGCAUUUUGGUCUGGUUGUUAAAAGAAACUUGAUAGAAUAGAGAAAAAAGGGAAAGAAAAGAAAAAAAAGUAAGAAAAAAUUUAAAAAUGAAAAAUAUAUAUAAUAAAAUAGAAUAAAAUGAAUAAAGAAAAUGAAAUAGAAUAAAACAUUUAAAAAUAAAGUAAUAAAAAAUAAAAUUUUCUCUUUUCUGUAUCCAAGAAUGGGGAAGAAAAGAAAGAAAGGGAAAAAAAGAAAAAAUAAAACAAUUUAAGCAAAAACAGAAGCAAAGAAAAUGAACAGAUAAAGGAACCAGAAAACAGAAUGAAACCUAAAGAAGUUACAUCCUGUUUUCUCUAGGACUGAAAGUAUGAAGUCUUCUAUAGUCUGUGCACUAAGCAGGUGGAGUGACUUGUGCUGGUCUUCUAGGGAAUGUGCUUGGAGGGCGCAGUUGGUGGGGGGCUUGGUGUAAGGGCUCCAUUAUCCACCAGGUGGCACUGCUUAGCUUACUGGGGUGGGUCAGUGCGAUGUGCAUGCAGCUGUGUGGGAGAGGUGGAAAUGGCUUCAUCCAGCUCCCUAGUCUCUGGCACAGAAACUUUGCACUCUCACCGACCUUUGAUCAAAUAUCUCUUCUUUGUCUCAGGCCUCUGUCCACUCCUCUCCUCCACCCCGUCCGUGUCCAAGCUGUUCACCUGCCAGGUAGCACCUCCCUCCAGAGUUUUAUCUCAGAUGGGGCUGUGUUGCAAAACCCCAUGCUUCUGAGACCACUGUGGCUUGGACCUGUACCAAUUCUCUGGGGGAAGGAUCUUGCUGAGCAAUGGCAGGGUGCCGGCUUGCCCCAGAAGAGUUUCUUGCAAUCAUGCAGUGGCAGAGGUUCAGAAAUUAUGGCAAAUCACAACACACAGCCAGCGCCAGGUUUCACCACACUCUGGAGACUUUGUCCCAGUAGCGGCAAACAUAGUGGCAAACAUCUGCUAAGACCUUUGCCUGUGGGGAGGCCAUAUGCCUCUACCAAAUGCACUCCAAACAGGGCAACCACUUCUCCCUGUGUGGCACAUGGACCCCUCAGACUGCACUGCCUGCUUCUGGGAAUUCAUCCUGUUUCCUCACCAGAGCACCACUAGGCACUGAGCUCCAAAACUUCAGACUCUGUGCUCCACUGUUUAUAAAAUCCUGAUGGUAUUGAAACCCUCUCCUUGCUUCCCACCAAUGGUUUUGGGGAACAGAUUUCUUGUUCAGUCCCCUGCUAGUGUUUUCACUCUUACUCUCUCUUUCUUUCCAGCUACUUUCAGGGGAGUGCUUUUCUUGCACAUCCCAAUGCACCACAAUCUCUCCCUUUCUCUCUUUCUGUCCUCUCUCCACAAAAACAGCUCUCUAUCCUCUGUGGCUUUUCUCUCCCCCAGUUCACCUCUCCACACCAUGUACCUGCUGAGUUCUGUGGCUCAAGUUAUGCAGAUUGUUGUGUUAAUCCUCAGAUUGAUUUCCUAGGUAUUCAAAAUGGUUUGGUGCUGAUCUGGCUGUGUUUCAGAGACAAGACAAACUCAGGGUCUCCAUGCCGCUCCAACAUCUUGACCAUCUUCUAAAGUUUGAUUCUACACGUGAAGUUUGCAUUCUGUGAUAUCACCACAUUGUUACAUGGACUUGGGCCAGUGUUUCUCCAUCUUUGUUGAGCGUUGGAAGGAGAUAGGAAGCUUGUGAAAAAUAUGCUUGGGCCCAACCCCGUGGAUUCCGACUGGGUACGUUUGGGAAGGAGCCUAUUUGUUCUUUGUAUCAAUUUUGCAGAUGAUUCUGAUCCACUAAAAUGCGAGAACCAA